UUUUCCGUUGAUCCCGCCGGACCCCACUGCUAUCGGGAUAGGACUAAGACAUGCUAGUUGAGCGUUUCCAAGCUAUGAUGGAAGCGCAGCGUACAGCUCAGUAACACGUGGCUAACCUGCCCUUGGGACGGAACCAACCCUGGGAAACUGGGAUUAAUGUCCGAUAGGCGAAGAUUCCUGGAAUGGAUCUUUACCUAAAAGGCGCUCUGAUCAUGCUUCUAAGCGCUGCCCUAGGAUGGGGCCGCGGCCGAUCAGGUUGUUGGUGAGGUAACGGCUCACCAAGCCGUUGACCGGUACGGGCCGUGAGAGCGGGAGCCCGGAGAUGGGCACUGAGACAAGGGCCCAGGCCCUACGGGGCGCAGCAGUCACGCAACCUCCGCAAUGCACGAAAGUGUGACGGGGUUAUCCCGAGUGCCGUUCGCUGAGAAUGGCUUUUUCCUAGUGUAAAUAGCUAGGGGAAUAAGGAGAGGGCAAGCCUGGUGUCAGCCGCCGCGGUAAUACCGGCUCUCCGAGUUGUGGGGACGCUUAUUGGGCCUAAAGCAUUCGUAGCCGGCUGGACAAGUCCCUUGUUAAAGCCGACGAUUUAAUCGUUGGACUGCGGGGGAUACUGUUCGGCUAGGAGACGGGAGAAGCCGACGGUAUUUCCAGGGUAGGGGUGAAAUCCUGUAAUCCUGGGAAGACCACCAGUGGCGAAGGCUGUCGGCUAGAACGUGCUCGACGGUGAGGGAUGAAAGCUAGGGGAGCGAACCGGAUUAGAUACCCGGGUAGUCCUAGCUGUAAACGAUGCAGGCUAGGUGUUAGGGCGGCUAUGUGCCGCUUUAGUGCCGCAGGGAAGCCGUUAAACCUGCCGCCUGGGGAGUACGACCGCAAGGUUGAAACUUAAAGGAAUUGGCGGGGGAGCACUACAAGGGGUGAAGCUUGCGGUUUAAUUGGAGUCAACGCCGGAAAUCACUAGU
rnacentral:rRNA from 1 species